CGCGGCCUAUCAGCUUGUUGGAGAGGUAACGGCUCACCAAGGCAUCGACGGGUAGCUGGUCUGAGAGGAUGAUCAGCCACACUGGAACUGAGACACGUUCCAGACUCCUACGGGAGGCAGCAGUGGGGAAUCUUGCACAAUGGGCGAAAGCCUGAUGCAGCGAUGCCGCGUGCGGGAAGAAGGCCCUAGGGUUGUAAACCGCUUUCAGGAGGGAAGAAAAUGACGGUACCUCCAGAAGAAGGUGCGGCCAACUACGUGCCAGCAGCCGCGGUAACACGUAGGCACCAAGCGUUAUCCGGAUUUAUUGGGCGUAAAGAGCUCGUAGGCGGUUCAGUCAGUCGGGUGUGAAAACUUGAGGCUUAACCUCAAGAGGUCACUCGAUACUACUGUGACUAGAGUGCGGUAAGGGAGCGGGGAAUUCCUGGUGUAGCGGUGAAAUGCGCAGAUAUCAGGAGGAACACCAGUGGCGAAGGCGCCGCUCUGGGCCGUAACUGACGCUGAGGAGCGAAAGCAUGGGUAGCAAACAGGAUUAGAUACCCUGGUAGUCCAUGCCGUAAACGUUGGGCACUAGGUGUGGGUCUCAACCAACGAGAUCCGCGCCGUCGCUAACGCAUUAAGUGCCCCGCCUGGGGAGUACGG
rnacentral:rRNA from 1 species